CGCCCAGCACUCCCUUCCUCCGGAGCUGGAACUUCCAGCCUUGGGUUUCUCCCUUCUCAGUUUCCUCUGUGUUUUCCUCUCUACCUCCAUCUCAACUGUGGACUUUCCCUUAGGCUGAGGAGUCCGGUGUGGUGGAUCCCCUCACUGUGUGACCUCCCCCAAAACCUCCCGCCCGGGCUGCAGCAGUCAUCUGGAACACUCCACCCUAGUGAUUAGUCUUCUUGAUUGGCUUGCCCUCUCUGCUGCCUGUCUGACCCCAGACCAAACUACUCUGCUCCCAGAACCAGCUCGUCACGAUGGUCUCCCUGUCUGCACAGGAAUUGCCUCUGUCCAGUGAUGGGAGUCAGGGGAACUCUAAGUUCCACGGGACCUGGAAGCUCUCCCCAUGAACAGGACUCCCUCCUGUCCUAGUAAACACUAACAUGUCACUUGUGAAACUAAGCGGAAGUGUGCUUUCUUGCUGAUGUCAUCUCCAACAUCAAGUGAGGAUCCCAAAACCACUCAAAACACUUGAACCUUUCACAGAGGAGGAAACGGAGGCUCAGAGAAGGAGAGCGGGUGCAACUUUGGGAUAGGCAGCUGUGCCUUGCUGGGACUGGCCAGCAGGAGCCGCCAACCCUCUCAAGAGCAGGGCAGAGGAAAGGACUGCCCAGUCACCUGGGGCUGGGAAGUAUGCUUCAGGUCAUGGUCUCCAGCCUUUGGGUGAGAUAGGAUUCUUUGGGUCUUCUUUGGCUGGACGCUCCUCUGACCAAGACUGACAAUCAGUGUCAGGUCUUUUAUUAAGAGAAAUGCUGUGCUUCUCUCUCUGCCCCUCCCCCGUUCAUGCUCUGUCUCUCUC